UCCAAUACUUCAUUGAGAUCCGUCUCCCAUUGGUCUAUAUAUGUUAGCUGUUUGUGCUUAGGUGUAUAGAUUACUGAUCAAGCCUCUUGGGAAGUGCUCUCCGAUACACAUCUUUUUAAAAAAUGUAAGUUGCGUUAGGGCAACUUUUUUUAAUCGCGGGAGCAUGGGCAUAGUCCCUCAUUUGGACGCAGCGGAGCCCUGGCUUUCAAUUCCUCAAAUGGUAUAAAACGGC